UGGGCAAACUGCCGCGUGACGUCACCGCGCCGGAAGUCGAACGAGAUUUUUGUUUUGCGAGUGACUUUGUAAGGCGACUUGGUCCCGUUUGGGGUUCCCGCUCUCGUUGACAACAACAACAAACACAACAACAACAAACAAGAGGGCGAGAGAGAGGCGGUGUAAGAUGUGAGGAGGAGGAGGAGGCGAUGGCGGCUGGCAGGGAAUGGCGAGGGGCUUGUCUGGUGGCGGCGGUGAGCUGUGUGUUGAUCUGCUCCACCUGGGCCCAGAUCUCCACUUGCACAGGAAAUGAAUUCCCCUACCUGGACUACUGCUGUAACAAAUGCCAUGCAGGAGAGUACAUGCUCUCUGCGUGCUCUGGACCCGGUGCCCGCACUCUUUGUGCAGCCUGUGUGCACGGAACACACACAGCUGUCCCCAACUACAGCAAGCAUUGUGUACGCUGUGCCCGCUGUGAGACUGGUA